ACGACCUUACUUGAACAGGAUCUGUUCUAUAGGAUCGUACCUCUGUAUCCUUGGGUUCUAAGGAGACCAGAACUAAAGUCUGGUCGAUGAAUCAUGCCCGCACGAUCAGAGCGUGAUUAAUGUCAGAUGGUCUAUGAUCUAGAUCAUCAGCUGUGGAGGAUCGUUCUCAGCUCGUCAUCCGACGGUUGAGAUGGUCGUGCGGUUGUCUGACAGACU
rnacentral:snoRNA from 1 species